rnacentral:rRNA from 1 species
GUAUGUUGACGUAUUCUGAAAGGGAUACUUCUUCGGACAAUAUACAAGGUGCUGCAUGGUUGUCGUCAGCUCGUGCCGUGAGGUGUUGGGUUAAGUCCCGCAACGGGCGCAACCCCUGCAUCCAGUUGCCAUCGGGCGAGCCGGGCACUCUGGAGGGACUGCCGGCGACAAGCCGGAGGAAGGUGGGGAUGACGUCAAGUCAUCAUGGCCCUUAUGUCCAGGGCGACACACGUGCUACAAUGGCCGGCACAGCGGGAAGCGGAGGGGCGACCCUGAGCGGAUCCCUUGAAAGCCGGUCCCAGUUCGGAUUGCAGUCUGCAACUCGACUGCAUGAAGUUGGAAUCGCUAGUAAUCGCGGAUCAGCCAAGCCGCGGUGAAUACGUUCCCGGGCCUU